UACGGGGGGGGCAAGCGUUGUUCGGAAUUACUGGGCGUAAAGGGCUCGUAGGUGGCCAACUAAGUCGGACGUGAAAUCCCUCGGCUUAACCGGGGAACUGCGUCUGAUACUGGAUGGCUUGAGUUCGGGAGAGGGAUGCGGAAUUCCAGGUGUAGCGGUGAAAUGCGUAGAUAUCUGGAGGAACACCGGUGGCGAAGGCGGCAUCCUGGACCAACACUGACACUGAAAAGCGAAAGCCAGGGGAGCAAACGGG
rnacentral:rRNA from 1 species